AACCCAUGGUGAGGGCACCUUCUAGAUCCUUGUAUCUCUCCCAUGCAUCGUAGAGUGUUUCUAAAUCCAUCUGCAUAAAAGAAAAGAUAUCAUUACGUAAUUU
rnacentral:snoRNA from 1 species